GGCUCGGUAGCAUUUGGAACGCAUCUGCAUUCUAUUAUCAGCGAAAUUGAAAGACUGAUCGUGGAUUACGCCUGUUCAAAUCAGGCCCGAGCCA